GACGAACGCUGGCGGCGGGCUUAACACAUGCAAGUCGAACGGAAAGGCCCUGCUUGUGUGGGGUGCUCGAGUGGGGAACGGGUAAGUAACACGUGAGUAACCUGACCUUGACUUUGGGAGAACUUCAGGAAAGUGGGGCUAAGACCGGAUAGGAGCUCCUGCAGCGGGGUGGGGGUUGGAUAGUUUAGGCGGUUGGGGAUGGAUGCGCGGCUGAUCAGCUUGUUGGUGGGGUAGUGGCUUACCAAGCCUUUGACGGGUAGGCGGCCUGAGAGGGUGACCGGCGACAAUGGGACUGCGAUACGGCGCAGACUCCUACGGGGGGCAGCAGUGGCGAAUAUUGCACAAUGGGCGCACGCCUGAUGAAGAAGCGCCGCGUGUGGGAUGCCCGCUUUUGGGUUGUGAACAGCUUUAGCCUGAGACGCAGCGGGAGUGACGGUAAUGGGUGAAGAAGCACCGGCUAACUACGUG
rnacentral:rRNA from 1 species